UUCAAUGCCGUCGGAAGCAGCCCGGAGGCCGCUUAAUCCCGUUGGCAACGCCGCUUGCAAAGCCCAGGAAUAGACUUGACCUCGCGCAAAAGGGAGGCGGCUCCCCGCCAAGAAAAGGGCGACCUCAAGGUCUUCUCUGCUCCGCCUGAUCUCCAGGAGAUCCCGGGGGCCCUUCUCGGCCUCCGCUCUCCCAAAGCCCCGUUCCUAAAGAGCAAGCAGGCGGGCGCGAAAGAGCGCACGACCAGGUACUCCCUAGAGCACUCCCCGUGAGAAGCCUAAAGCCUUUCACUCUAGACGAGGAACCCAGGGGGCGGGGGUCCGGGAACCGCCUUUAGGCGAACCCGGCGACUCACAGACCUACCCAAAAGGUGCCACCUCUUGGAGGAAUUGUCUUACGGCGGGCGGCACACCACCCCCACAUCAAAGGGGAAGGGGAGCCGUGGAUCCCCCCCCGAAAAUGGCUAGUGAAGUCGAAUCUACCAAGAAACCGAGGUCUUAUCAUCCACACCCCGCGCUCUCCGGUCUCCUUGUUCGCGAAUCGCAGGCGUCGAAGAGGGGCGCCACCGACUCGCUCGCGGGCCAGGUCCCCUUCCGACGAGCGCGAGUCGUCCGUUCCCCCGGGAAUGGGGUGCCCCGCCGUCGGGAGAAAGAGAGAGACACGGGAGACGCUUCCCCAACAGGCCCUUUCCCCCCAAAAAGGGGGUGCAAGGUUCCUUCUUGCAAGAAGUCUGAUCUUUUGGGGAAGCCGAGUUGCUGUGCAAGACCUCCCAGUCAACUAUAAUUUUGCAGCCUGAAUUUGCUGGAACUUGAAAUAGAGAUGGUUAAGAACCCAAGAAGAGCCUGGCUGCCAAAUCAGGCCAAAGGAGGCCCAUCUAGUCCAGCAUCCUGUUCGCACGAUGGCAAUGAGCCUGUGAGCAGGGCCCAAGGGCAACAGCAACUCUUCCCCCCGUACGAUUCCCAGCAACUGUUCUUCAGAAGCAGGCUGCCUCUGACAGUGGAGGCCGAACGGAGCCACCGGGGUUAGUGGCCUGUGAUAGCCUUGUCCUCCUCUGUGAAUUUGGCUCACCCCCUUUAAGAGCCAUCCAAGUUGGUGGCCAAAACGACACCUUCUGGGAGUGAAUGCUAUGGUUGCUCCCAGUGUGAAUAGUCACCCCACUUUUGUCACUAGUAAACAGGUUUGGCAAGGUUGGUGUGGUGUGGGUUUCUUUGGAGCAUUUCAAAAACCUGCCCAACCUCUCUCCAUGAGUGUGAGCGUGGGUGUGUACUAGGGACGGAAAGAUCCGUCUCUUUCGGUUCUUUCCGUUUCUCAUUCUUCCAGUGUUAAAUUAAGUUCUCUACAUUUCUACAGCGAUCUGUGGAUUUUUUAAAUAAAAAUCCUCAUGAAAAUUCUCCACCAUUUUAGUGCAAAUUUCUCCAAAUAAACACAUUUGCGUAGGCAG